AGAGUUUGAUCCUGGCUCAGGAUAAACGCUGGCGGCGCACAUAAGACAUGCAAGUCGAACGGACUUAACUCAUUCUUUUAGAUUGAGAGCGGUUAGUGGCGGACUGGUGAGUAACACGUAAGCAACCUGCCUAUCAGAGGGGAAUAACAGUGAGAAAUCAUUGCUAAUACCGCAUAAGCUAGUAGCAUCGCAUGAUGUAGCUAGAAAAGGAGCAAUCCGCUGAUAGAUGGGCUUGCGUCUGAUUAGCUAGUUGGUGGGGCAACGGCCUACCAAGGCGACGAUCAGUAGCCGGACUGAGAGGUUGAACGGCCACAUUGGGACUGAGAUACGGCCCAGACUCCUACGGGAGGCAGCAGUCGGGAAUAUUGCGCAAUGGAGGAAACUCUGACGCAGUGACGCCGCGUAUAGGAAGAAGGUUUUCGGAUUGUAAACUAUUGUCGUGAGGGAAGAAAUUGACAGUACCUCAGGAGGAAGCUCCGGCUAACUAUGUGCCAGCAGCCGCGGUAAUACAUAGGGAGCAAGCGUUAUCCGGAUUUAUUGGGUGUAAAGGGUGCGUAGACGGGAAAUUAAGUUAGUUGUGAAAUCCCUUGGCUUAACUGAGGAACUGCAACUAAAACUGGUUUUCUUGAGUACUGGAGAGGAAAGUGGAAUUCCUAGUGUAGCGGUGAAAUGCGUAGAUAUUAGGAGGAACACCAGUGGCGAAGGCGGAUUGCUGGACGAUAACUGACGGUGAGGCGCGAAAGUGUGGGGAGCAAACAGGAUUAGAUACCCUGGUAGUCCACACUGUAAACGAUGAAU
rnacentral:rRNA from 1 species